rnacentral:rRNA from 1 species
AGGACGAACGCUGGCGGCGUGCUUAACACAUGCAAGUCGAGCGGAAAGGCCCUUCGGGGUACUCGAGCGGCGAACGGGUGAGUAACACGUGAGCAACCUGCCCUUAGCUCCGGGAUAGCUCCGGGAAACCGGAAUUAAUACCGGAUACGACCACGGCCGACAUCUGCUGUGGUGGAAAGGAUUCCGGCUAAGGAUGGGCUCGCGGCCUAUCAGCUAGUUGGUGGAGUAACGGCCCACCAAGGCGACGACGGGUAGCCGGCCUGAGAGGGCGACCGGCCACACUGGGACUGAGACACGGCCCAGACUCCUACGGGAGGCAGCAGUGGGGAAUAUUGCGCAAUGGGCGAAAGCCUGACGCAGCGACGCCGCGUGGGGGAUGAAGGCCUUCGGGUUGUAAACCCUUUCAGCAGGGACGAAGCGAAAGUGACGGUACCUGCAGAAGAAGCGCCGGCUAACUACGCGCCAGCAGCCGC